ensembl:lncRNA
AACGUUUUCAAAUGCAAUGCCAAAGUCAUUGUUCGCUCAACACUGGGGACUUUUUAGUGGCCCCUUCACUUCAUGCGGUCUUUAGCCUGCAACUUUUCUCUCCCAGCCUCCCCCAGCCCUUUCCUACUAGAUUGCUACUCCACCACCUUUACAAUUCGUCUCAUUCUUUUCAGGAGCAGAAAAAAAUGGACCUUCCAUGUCACAUGAUCUUCCACCCGUGGUAGCUGCGGACGCAUCGUUUGGAGAGUCCAGUGUGUGGUGGUUGUGAAGGAGCCCAGCAGCUUUGUUGUCGGUGCCUCUGUUCUUCAGGUUAUAACAGCUUGGGAGGCAAGGACUGGAAAAUGACAAAAUGAGUUUUAACUCCCUACCUCUUUGAAUACUAUUUAACCAAAAAGUGAAUUGCAGCAAAGCAAAAUGCUUUCCUGUUUUCAAAUUUGGAGGCGUCCUACCAUCCAGGGAAGUCAAUUUCAUCAGCACGAUGGGAAAACACCAAGUCCUUUUCAAAUGGAAUCGUCCUCUCUGAAACCAAAGUUCCACAGAAGCAAAUUACCAGCUGGCGCCGGUGUGGGAUUCAAGAUGAGGAUCCUACUUUGUGUUUCUGCCACCCCCUCAUCAUUUCUAAGCCACCGACCCACAGAAGCCACCUGAUCUGCUUCUCAUCCGGGUCUCUUCGAGGGUGGGAGAGUAAUGGCCAGGAACACACAGAGCACACAGCCCCUGCACAUCUGUAAAAGGAACAUCCAGCCUGGGCCUGGAAUAAACUGUUCUCUGCGGAAAUCACCCCGAGAUAUUAAAUGUCCACAAAGAGCAGAUGGGAACCCUGACUCUCCGAGGUCUGCUUCCAAGGACCCCUUCAGCCCAGCAGAAGCAGGAGCCCUGGGCGCCCUGCUCUUCCUCGCCAUCAACUGUUCUCCAGGAUUUCGUUCGGAAACCAUUGCUGCCCCCCAGACAACACCCUCACCUCCAAGCCUCUGGCUUCGUGUGCCUCACAGCGGGUGGCCGUCCUUUUGACAUGGGGACGCUCUCCGCCCCCCCCCCCCCCCCCCGCCCCAUGAGCGGAUCUGAAAUUUUUGCUCUUUAAUUAAAUGAAAACUUUAGAACACCCACAACAAUGGUAAUUUCCCAUAAACUCGGGGCAGCUUUCUGCUUUAGGACGAAAGCAAAAGACCUCUUUCAUUUUCUGUUUCAAUGCAAUGAAUGCAUGCUGGGCCUUUCUGUGAGGAACCCACGGCCCGGAGGAGCAGGCCAUGUGCUGGGAACUCAGCAGUGCUUGGAGUUUACGAGGAUGGAGGGUUGCCAGUUAUUCAGGACCACAGAGCUCUGGGACUGACGAGGGGGAGGGAGUCUCUUCACUAUUACCUCUCAUACAUUGCCUCCAUAAAUAUCUUUUUAUUAUAUUUCUGCUGUUUUUAGAUUUAGUUUAUGGAUGCGGUUAAUGCCGGAUCCGAAUGUGAAGGGAAUUACCACCCUUGUUAAGAUUCUGACCACUUGGGGAGAAUUGCUUAGGCUUCUCUUCCUCCUGCAAUAAACACAUCUGGUGGAUGGCA